rfam:Eutrema salsugineum unplaced genomic scaffold scaffold_2, whole genome shotgun sequence.
AAUUCAUGGUGAGGACAUUGAUUUGUAUAUUCUCUGAAUCUCUCUUAAGCUUCAUUGAAAGAUUCAUUUUGCUUAUGGGUGAAGGAGGAGAUCUCAUUCCUCAAUUU